AUUUUUAAUUUAUAUAGUUUACAAAAACAUUACAUUUUCAUUGUAAAAUUAAAUUAAUAUUAAUUUUAUAA
rnacentral:tRNA from 1 species